AGUGACUUGUGGGGUCAGUCGG
rnacentral:miRNA from 16 species